rnacentral:misc_RNA from 1 species
CCGAGUUCGUGCCCCGCUGCGGGGUAGAUCUCCCACCCUUGUGUAUCUUCGUACCUUUUCGUUGCUUUGGCGGGCCGCUCAGGCUUCGGCCUGGCCACCGGCUCCCCUGAAGGGGGCGGGUGCGCGCCUGCCAGAGGACCCCUCCAACUCUGUUUGUCAGUGUCGUCUGAGUACUAUAACCAAUCGUUA